GGGGGAAUAUUGCACAAUGGGGGGAAACCCGUGAUGCAGCGACGCCGCGUGAGUGAAGAAGUAUUUCGGUUAUGUAAAGCUCUAUCAGCAGGGAAGAAAAUGACGGUACCUGACUAAGAAGCCCCGGCUAACUACGUGCCAGCAGCCGCGGUAAUACGUAGGGGGCAAGCGUUAUCCGGAUUUACUGGGCGUAAAGGGAGCGUAGACGGCUUUGCAAGUCUGACGUGAAAAUCCGGGGCUCAACCCCGGAACUGCGUUGGAAACUGUGAGGCUUGAGUGCCGGAGAGGUAAGCGGAAUUCCUAGUGUAGCGGUGAAACGCGUAGAUAUUAGGAGGAACACCAGUGGCGAAGGCGGCUUACUGGACGGCAACUGACGUUGAGGCUCGAAAGCGUGGGGAGC
rnacentral:rRNA from 1 species